AAUUUGGUGGCUGGGCUUAUUUGUGGUUUGAACCCACUUAAAGAAGGUUCGAUUCCUUCCCAAAUUU
rnacentral:tRNA from 1 species